CGGCCUCGGGCCCCGCGGUCCGGCCGGGAGAAGACGCGUGGCGGAGCCGGCGACCUCGAGCAAGGAAGUGGGGCGGCAGGGGCGGCACGGACGGACUCACCUGCAGCAGCACGGCCAGCAGGAAGCACAAGUACAUCUGGAGACAGCCCGCAUCACACAACGUUUCACUCAGCCGUGUGGCUGAGCACUGACAAACUCAAUUUAGGAAAGGCCAGAGUGAGUUGACACCACGCUGUGGCACAUGUCCUGAUGGGAGCCAACGACUCGUGUCCUUCCAAGGCGAGGCCCACCUUUUCUGAGAAGCGAGCUUGUGCACGAGAGGACAACAGAGGACAAGGAGCAGAGGAAGACCUCUUGCGGACACAAGGAAUGGUCUGACAGCCCCAGGCUUGAGGAUGUGUCUCUUCCAAGUACUCUGUCACCCUGGUAACCAUGGAGACCAUGACGAUCGAUUAGAUGCCAUCUGAUCUCAACCUCAUAAAAAAAAAAGGCAGCAGAUGGCAACCAGGCCACUAGACCUGUCUCAAGAGAGAUGAAGAGGAAGAGAAAGGGAAGGAAGGAGAGAGAGAGGAGAGGAGGUGGGGGCGGCGGUUGAGCUGGACCAAGCCAAAGCCAAGAGCCAGGAGCGUCUGCUGCGUCUCCCAUGUUGGGGCAGGAGCUCAAGCACUUUGGCCAUCCCCUGCUGCUCUCUCAGAUGCAGUAGCAGGGAGCUGAAUGGGAAGUGGAGCAGCUGGGACUCAGACCAGUGUCCGUACAGGAUGGCGGUGUCUGCUACACCAUUACACCAAUCCCUGAUGAGCAGUUCCACUUGGCUGCACAACACUGCGAGGCCACCAGAGAAGUUGGAGGGCAAAGAGACAGCAGUCUGAACUACUGUGACUGCAGUACCUGGCAGGUACAAGUCUUGUAAAACACACGAGGCAGGUGGGUACUCUGCCAUCCCUCUGAUCAAGCUAAGGGACACUGAAGUGUAAGCUUCACCAGCUUCAUGAUAAGUCCAUCUCUGGUUUUGAAGGGGGAUUGAUGCUUAGAGAACAAGCUACGGGUGGACAGAGAGUGUGAAGGUGAGUGUGGUUCAAGUACUGUGUGUGGUUCUCUGUUAAAGGAAAAGACAAUAAUCUUUUCCACCCUUUAUCCUUUGUCUUGCCCUGUUGCUUCUGCGUGGCCCACUUUUCCUUUGAUCUCUUCCAGUUACUCAGUGCUCUCGGGAUUCUCUUCUUUGCACAUCUUGCUCUUGGACUCAGGUCUAGGAACCCUUGUCCACUGUGCUAAGGACAGCAGGAAGGCUUCCUGAACCCCUUCACCUUCUCCAGGGAGACCAGUGGCAUUCAGAGGCACAGGGAAGCAGACGAAGAGGGAGAGAGACAAACCAAGCGCACUGUCUCCAGAGCGCUGCCGUUGGUGCUCCUGCCACUGGAGAGCCGGGUUGACAGCAGCUGCCUGCAGUUGCCCCAUUUCAGCUCCUGUUUGCUCCUGCCUUCCUGCUCUCCUGGGAACUCUUGGUAACAGUGCCAUUAAGUUGAUGUGGCUGUUUUCCUCCUCUCCUCUAACCGCUGAUAGUCUGUGAGGUAUUAGUUAUCAGCAAGAAGCUACUCCAGCUGGGGAUCAUGCGCAGUCCCGUUUGGUGAAGCAGCAAACAGAGCUCUAGCCACAGAGACUCAGGGUGGUGGCACCUCGUCCCCAUCUGCCCACCUCUUGCCCUGCAUACUCCUGGGCUGCUGGGCUCCUUGUCAUAAUUGUAGAUUAUAUUACGCAUGUGUUACUUCUGGGGCUGGCUCUGUGGCUUAGCAAGUAAAGCCACCGUUUGCAGUGCUGGCAUCCCAUAUGGGUGCAGGUUCAAGUCCCAGCUGCUCCACUUCUGAUCCAGCUCUCUGCUAUGGCCUGGGAAAGCAGUAGAAGAUGGCCCAAGUCCUUGGGCCCCUGCAUCUGUGUGGGAAACCCAGAAGAAGCUCCUGGCUUCAGAUCGGCGCAGCUCCAGCCAUUGCAGUCAUCUGGGGAGUGAACCAUCAGAUGAAGGACCUCUCUCUCUCUCUCUCUCUCUCUCUCUUUGCCUCUGCCUCUCUGUAACUCUGCCUUUCAAAUAA